rnacentral:sRNA from 1 species
GGGUAUGAGGGCCAUCUGUGGUGAUGUGUGGCACCCCACUGAUCACCAGGGCUGAUCUGGCUGUCGAGGCAGGGGUCCCUGUCCUCUCUCACCACUCCGGUGUGUCCCUUCUAAGUGUGUGCUGGUCGAAGCAGACACCCGUCCUGCUAGGGGAGGAUUGUUCUCGGCGGAUGGGCUCCCCGGCUGGAACCUCCAAGCAAGCGCUCCAACUCCAUCGAUACAGACUGCACCGGACACACUGAUUGCUAAGUCCUUUCCAUGCAGAUGUCAGUGUCCUUUU